AACGAACGCUGGCGGCAUGCCUAACACAUGCAAGUCGAACGAGACCUUCGGGUCUAGUGGCGCACGGGUGCGUAACGCGUGGGAACCUGCCCUUAGGUUCGGAAUAACUCUCCGAAAGGGGUGCUAAUACCGGAUAAUGUCUUCGGACCAAAGAUUGAUCGCCCUUGGAUGGGCCCGCGUUGGUUUAGCCAGUUGGUAGGGUAAAAGCCUACCACGGCGACGAUCCAUAGCUGGUCUGAGAGGAUGAUCAGCCACACUGGGACUGAGACACGGCCCAGACUCCUACGGGAGGCAGCAGUGGGGAAUAUUGGACAAUGGGCGAAAGCCUGAUCCAGCAAUGCCGCGUGAGUGAUGAAGGCCUUAGGGUUGUAAAGCUCUUUUACCCGGGAUGAUAAUGACAGUACCGGGAGAAUAAGCUCCGGCUAACUCCGUG
rnacentral:rRNA from 1 species